AAUAUCAUGUACGAUACUAUAUCCUGUACAAUACAAAUCCACAAUUUCAUGAAGACUUCAAUAUUUAGUACAUUAAUAUUGUUUUUAUAAGUAGGAAGCCUGAAACAGAAUAUCAAACAUCAAAUUUUUUUACCGAUUGACCCAUUUUAAAUAAAUAUCUUGUGUACUGGAUAAUCUCCCUGAAUCAUGAAAACAUAGUGUUCUUGGAAAAUAGCUCUUAUAAGUUCUUAACCAUUUUCUUCAUGCACUACAAUUACCACUAGCUAGUUACUCUCAUAUCCCCACUUGCAUUCUAAAAAAGAACAAAUUAGUUGCUAGAGGACCUCUCCUGCAUUCAAAUUCUUUGGUCGUAUCUAUCCUUUCCACACGCUAAUGUUUUGCAAUCUAAAGACUUGCUUAUUUCUUUCAGAUGUGAUCUUCUGUCAACUUUUUAUUUCUUCUUUAAAUUUGUUGGCCAUUAGUUUUUAUGUGGUAUGUCACAUGUUUUGUUGCAUUCUUAAUUUUGAAUGCAUACAUUGCUUAGAUCACAUAUUUCGGUCUUAGUAAUGUUUCUGAUUUUCCUCUUACUAAUAAGCAGGAGACCC
rnacentral:lncRNA from 1 species